rnacentral:lncRNA from 9 species
GUUGUCUAGUGGAGGGGGGUUUAAAGAAUAAUCCAUUCCAGGUGCUCAGUAGAAGAAAUACAACAAUGAAUAGAUUGAUCAUAUAAGUCUGGAAAUGUCAGAUAUAAAUCAAAAUAUCAUUUUUAAAUGAAUUUUUUUCUAUAAAAAUAAAAACCAGACUUGGUACUGGAUGCAUUAUUUUUAAUUUAUGCAUAGUUAUUCUUCUACCAAAAAAUAAACUGGAAUCAAAUGUGUUGCUAGUUUCUAAUUCAUACUGCCAUAAAAACUUCUUUGGUUUCUAUUUUUCAGUUUCUUUCCCAAUAAUAUAAAUAAAUUGCAAUUGAUAAUAUCUAUCAUCUGUUCUAGAUUUAAAAUUCUAAGACACAAAUGGAUGUUAUCAUUUCCUCUUUAGCCCUGACAAAUUUGUAGCAAAAGAGGUAAAAUGAUCUAAGGAACCAAACUGGAAGUAGCUCCAUCUCUAAUGAAGUCAUAGACAAUUAUAUAAUCCACAGAAGUUAUGAAUCUUCUCACCUUUUUUUAUAAACUUAAAAUGAAGCUAAUUCUUGAGUUUUGAAAAUCCGUUAUUUUUUUUUUUCUGGCAUCAACUAACAAUAGAUAAUAUAAUGUCAAUCAUUCUGCUAAGCACUUCAUCAAAAUCACCUCACUUGUUUUAUAUAACUCAAAAUUUUAACAUCUCCAUUUAUAGAUGAGGAAACUGAGGCACAGAAAUUUUAAAGAACUUCUUUAUAGUCACAAUGUUAAUUCAUAGAAACAAAAAGCUAGAACUGUUUGACUAACUUUAAAGUCCAAAAACUUCCUGGUAAGGGACUCAAAAGUCCAGAAAUGGAAAUUAUAACAUGAAAAGAAGGUUUGGAUUUUGUUAUGGUUCCAGUCAAAAUUUUCAUCCUCCUACAAAUAUUCUUCUGAACUCAGAAGCAAGUAUACUUAUAAUUAUGGUUACUGUUCUUUUUAUCUCUGUCCAAAUAAUCAGAAUAUAACAGCAACUUACCUUGAAAGUAUCAUUAUUUUUUAGGGGAAAGAACAGAUCUGUCACAGCCAUCAGUUCAAAAUGCCAUCGCUAUGAUGAAAAGAAACUAACAUUCAUGUACUCAGUCCAUUUUUUUUUUAAAG